rnacentral:rRNA from 1 species
CACGUAGGCGGACAUUUAAGUCAGGGGUGAAAUCCCGGGGCUCAACCUCGGAACUGCCUUUGAUACUGGGUGUCUAGAGUAUGGAAGAGGUAAGUGGAAUUGCGAGUGUAGAGGUGAAAUUCGUAGAUAUUCGCAGGAACACCAGUGGCGAAGGCGGCUUACUGGUCCAUUACUGACGCUGAGGUGCGAAAGCGUGGGGAAGCAAACA